GUGAACGCUGGCGGUAGGCCUAACACAUGCAAGUCGAACGGCAGCACAGAGGAGCUUGCUCCUUGGGUGGCGAGUGGCGGACGGGUGAGGAAUACAUCGGAAUCUACUCUUUCGUGGUGGAUAACGUAGGGAAACUUACGCUAAUACUGCAUACGACCUUCGGGUGAAAGCAGGGGAUCGCAAGACCUUGCGCGAUUGAAUGAGCCGAUGGCGGAUUAGCUAGUUGGCGGGGUAAAGGCCCACCAAGGCGACGAUCCGUAGCUGGUCUGAGAGGAUGAUCAGCCACACUGGAACUGAGACACGGUCCGGACUCCUACGGGAGGCAGCAGUGGGGAAUAUUGGACAAUGGGCGCAAGCCUGAUUCAGCCAUACCGCGUGGGUGAAGAAGGCCUUCGGGUUGUAAAGCCCUUUUGUUGGGAAAGAAAAGCACACGGUUAAUACCCGAGUGUUCUGACGGUACCCAAAGAAUAAGCACCGGCUAACUUCGUGCCAGCAGCCGCAGUAAUAC
rnacentral:rRNA from 1 species